rnacentral:rRNA from 1 species
UACGUAGGGUGCAAGCGUUGUCCGGAAUUAUUGGGCGUAAAGGGCUCGUAGGCGGUCUGUCACGUCGGGGGUGAAAACUCAGGGCUUAACCCUGAGCCUGCUUCCGAUACGGGCAGACUAGGGGUAUGCAGGGGAGAACGGAAUUCCUGGUGUAGCGGUGAAAUGCGCAGAUAUCAGGAGGAACACCGGUGGCGAAGGCGGUUCUCUGGGCAGUACCUGACGCUGAGGAGCGAAAGUGUGGGGAGCGAACAGG